rnacentral:rRNA from 1 species
GAUUAAUUCGAUGCAACGCGAAGAACCUUACCAAGGCUUGACAUGCACGGGAAGCCACCAGAGAUGGUGGUCUCUUUGGACACUCGUGCACAGGUGGUGCAUGGUUGUCGUCAGCUCGUGUCGUGAGAUGUUGGGUUAAGUCCCGCAACGAGCGCAACCCUCGUCCCAUGUUGCCAGCGGGUUAUGCCGGGGACUCAUGGGAGACUGCCGGGGUCAACUCGGAGGAAGGUGGGGAUGACGUCAAAUCAUCAUGCCCCUUAUGUCUUGGGCUUCACGCAUGCUACAAUGGCCGGUACAAAGGGCUGCGAUACCGUAAGGUGGAGCGAAUCCCAAAAAGCCGGUCUCAGUUCGGAUUGGGGUCUGCAACUCGACCCCAUGAAGUCGGAGUCGCUAGUAAUCGCAGAUCAGCAACGCUGCGGUGAAUACGUUCCCGGGCCUUGUACACACCGCCCGUCAAGUCACGAAAGUCGGUAACACCCGAAGCCC